GGCUGAUCUGAGAGCAGUGGUGUUUACAACUAACUGAUCAAAACCGGUUACAGAUUCCUUUGUUCUUUCUCCACUGCUUCACUUGACUAGCCUUAA
ensembl:misc_RNA Y_RNA Y RNA